AAUGAAUCUGAAAAACAAAAAGAUUCUUUAAGCACCUGGUAAAUUUCGGGUCACACAUUAGAAAAUGAGCAAGCAUCAGUAAUAUUGAUGGGAGUGAAAAUAUGACAUUGCGAAAGUCUCCUACUUCUAAAUGUGAAAAGGAGACUCAGAAAAGUUAAAUAAUUUGCCUGAAGACAUAUAUCUGUUAAGGACCUAAGAGAAGCAAUGGAGAGAACUAUAUGAAGAAACUGGAAAAAGAAAGCAGGCAGAAGAGGCCAAGGA